rnacentral:rRNA from 1 species
GACUCGUCACACUAUCAUUAACUGAAUCCAUAGGUUAAUGAGGCGAACCGGGGGAACUGAAACAUCUAAGUACCCCGAGGAAAAGAAAUCAACCGAGAUUCCCCCAGUAGCGGCGAGCGAACGGGGAGGAGCCCAGAGCCUGAAUCAGCAUGUGUGUUAGUGGAAGCGUCUGGAAAGGCGCGCGAUACAGGGUGACAGCCCCGUACACAAAAGCGCAUGUGCUGUGAGCUCGAUGAGUAGGGCGGGACACGUGGUAUCCUGUCUGAAUAUGGGGGGACCAUCCUCCAAGGCUAAAUACUCCUGACUGACCGAUAGUGAACCAGUACCGUGAGGGAAAGGCGAAAAGAACCCCGGCGAGGGGAGUGAAAAAGAACCUGAAACCGUGUACGUACAAGCAGUGGGAGCACCCUUUGGGGUGUGACUGCGUACCUUUUGUAUAAUGGGUCAGCGACUUAUAUUCUGUAGCAAGGUUAACCGAAUAGGGGAGCCGGAGGGAAACCGAGUCUUAAUUGGGCGUUAAGUUGCAGGGUAUAGACCCGAAACCCGGUGAUCUAGCCAUGGGCAGGUUGAAGGUUGGGUAACACUAACUGGAGGACCGAACCGACUAAUGUUGAAAAAUUAGCGGAUGACCUGUGGCUGGGGGUGAAAGGCCAAUCAAACCGGGAGAUAGCUGGUUCUCCCCGAAAGCUAUUUAGGUAGCGCCUCGUGAAUUCAUCUCCGGGGGUAGAGCACUGUUUCGGCUAGGGGGCCAUCCCGGCUUACC